rnacentral:sRNA from 1 species
GCCAGGGAUGGUGGUGCAUACCUGUAAUCCCAGUAACUCGGGAGGCAGAGGCUGAGGCAGGAGGAUCAUGAGUUCAAAGGCAGCCUCAGCAACUUGAUGAGGCCCUGAGCAAUUUAAUGAGAACCUGCCCU